AGACUUACCUAUCCAUCAAUCACAAUUAUUUCCAAUGCUUCAUUGUCUAACUUAUCUCUUUGAACUCAUAAUCGCAAAAUUCUGACAAUCAUAUUUUUAUUCUUUAUUUAUGGGUUAAUGGCAUUCAAACGGAUAGCUUCAUUAUUCGUCGAUAUUUCUAAUAUUUAGAAUAAGUAUAUAUAACCAACAUUUUAAAGUCAAUUCCUCAAUCUAGCUCGUUUCAAAAAAAAAAAAAAAAAUCAAUUCCUCAAUCUGCUUUACAUCUAUUUUGAUCAAUCAUAAAGAACACCAAGGCAACCAAAAUAAAACUAACUUAAUGUUUGAUCAUUAAACAAUGAGUUUGUUAUAACCAUUCCCAAUUAUUUCAGUCAUUGAAAUUUAAGUCACAC
rnacentral:lncRNA from 1 species